CACCUUGAGGGCAUGAAAUGCCUAGAGAUCUAUGUUAGUAUGAUCAAGACUAAAAUAGCAUUGACAACCCUCAACAAGCAAGGAGACAAGUAGAUCUAACACUAAACACCCUAGAUCUUCUCUAAUCACCCUUAAUCACCCUAGCCCAUGAAUCCAAGAUUAGUCUACUCACUAAUAGACAUGGAUAACCCCAAAACCAUGGAUGAUUCAAGGUUAAACAUGAUUAGAGAGCAAGAUAAUCACACAAACACAAAGAAUAUAGAUGGAAAAAGAUUAAAGAUCCAAAUUUUCUUUAAAAAGGUUUAUGUGUUCUUAGAGAGAAAAGAAGAUAAGUCAUAAUUUUAGGUUUAGAGAGUAUUUAUAGGACUUCUAAAAACCUAGUGGGCUCAGUCAAUAAAUCUGACUCGCAGCGGCUUCCUGACCCCGCUCCAUGAGGUCGCUCUGGAUGUCGUCUGUUACACCAAGGAAUGCCNNNNNNNNNNNNNNNNNNNNNNNNNNNNNNNNNNNNNNNNNNAAUGCCGAGCGGGUUCGUCAUCCCGCUCCGGAUGGUCGCUCUGGAUUGCAGCGGGUUGGUUACCCCGCAACGGAGGGUCGCUCCAGCUCCUUGCUCCGUGUCUUCAAAGAAUGGCGAGCGGGUUCUCCUACCCGCUCCGGCUGGCCGCUCCAUGUUGUUCUGUGUAGAGCGGGUGCUCUAGGUCGCUGCGAGAGCCCCCUCUGAUACUCAACUCGUCCAAUGAUCAUAAUUCACCCCCUUUUUGGACCACAAUGUCUCCAAACUCCUCCAAAAACUCCAAACGAUACACCAACACCUGAUAAAGACUUAUGAAUGCAAAAUGGAUCCUAAAGAUGCCUAAAUCUAUUCUACAUGAUCAAAAUAUACAAGAAAGGAUUAUUAAAAAUAUGUAAAUAUGCAAGAUAUCAUAAAUGGAGUCGGAGUUAUGAUGAGAAAUAAAUCAUAAGGACUCAAUGUAACGAGUAGGAACGAUAUACCAGACCGAAAUAGAUGUCGACCGACGUAAGGAUGUUGAUGUCGGUCGACGCAGGUAAGGCAAUGUAGAUCGAUGUCGACUUGUUCGCGUCGGUCGAUACAGAUGGCAAUCGUCUACUCGGAUCUUCUUUUUGUUUUGUUUUUAUUUAUUUAUUUAUUUUAUUUUUUAUGACCUGCAAUAAUUAAAAACCAACAAAAAUAGUAAAUCAAUGAAAACUUAAUAAAUAUUACCUAAUAGUGGGUUGCCUCCCACUCAGCGCUUUGUUAUAGUCAUUUAGCUUGACUUUGGAGGUGUUUUGGCUAGUAGUGUUGAGAACUGGGAAUUGUUGGAAAACAAGUAUCUAUCUCCUCUUUGAGCUUGUUGAACCAUGUACCAGUGAAGUCUCUCAUUGCUUCAUCCCCUCUGCGCCAUUUAUCCUUCAUUACUGCAAUCUUUCACCAAGACUCUCAAGGUUGAAUUGAUGUCAGGUAAGUGCGGCGUAAGUGUCAGCUGAGAUCUCCUUUCCAUGGUAAGGUGUGUUGGACGUGUCGGAUGUUGUCUUUGGUACUAGCAUGCUCCGGUUUGUAUCAAUGUCGAUCGAUGCUGAAUGGUUGGUGUCGAUCGAUUUGUUGAUGCGUCUGUCGAUCGAUAUCGAUGCUUCUGGUCGACGUGCAAUGUAACUCUGAAUCUCCACCAACUCCCCUUGUAUAGCUUCAACCUUGGAGGUCAAUGCACUGAUGGUAAGAUCCAUUGGAAAAUGGAUGUCAUCACACCUCCCAUCAAACAACUAAUCUCUUAGGUAAAGCAAGCUAAAAGCAUUGAAGAGUUGGUUAAGGCAUUUCAUCAUACACCUUGUGGGUAGGAAAUGCCUAGAGAUCUAUGUUAGUAUGAUCAAGACUAAAAUAGCAUUGAGAACCCUCAACAAGCAAGGAGACAAGUAGAUCUAACACUAAACACCCUAGAUCUUCUCUAAUCACCCUUAAUCACCCUAGCCCAUGAAUCCAAGAUUAGUCUACUCACUAAUAGACAUGAAUAACCCCAAAACCAUGGAUGAUUCAAGGUUAAACAUGAUUAAAGAGCAAGAUAAUCACACAAACACAAAGAAUAUAGAUGUAAAAUGAUUCAAGAUCCAAAUUUUCUUUAAAAAGGUUUAUGUGUUCUUAGAG
rnacentral:lncRNA from 1 species